rnacentral:rRNA from 1 species
AUUUCCCUCAGGAUAGCAGGAACCUAGCAGUUUUACCGGGUAAAGCGAAUGAUUAGAGGGCCGGGAGUUGCAACAACUUCCACCUAUUCUCAAACUUUGAAUUGGUAAGCGCUGCAGUUGCUUAGUUGAACUGCAGCACGAAUGCGGGUUCCUAGUGGGCCAUUUUUGGUAAGCAGAACUGGCGAUGAGGGCUGAACCUAACGCGAGGAUAAGG